CCCCUUUUCAAUACGCUGUGGAUAUGUUAUAAAUAAUCCGUCAGGAAACUGACUAUAGCGAUAUACGGGCUUCGUAAUAAACCUAUCGGACGCGGGGGCAGCACCCGCCGCCUCCACCAUUUUCUAGCGAACUGAUUAUGGGGGCGACACAGGAUCGACGAGGGCGUAAAGGAUGUAUCCGUCGCUCGGCAUGGCACCACCGUUAGCGGGCUUUAUCGAUAGUUGCAAAUGACAACUACGCGGAGGUAGCAGUCGCUGCGUAAGCAGUGCCUCAGGCCUCAUUUAAGUCCUUGCUCGUCGCAGAGUGAGGCGGGGUUCGGAAGGCACCUGGCAACAGAAGCCUUCCAUU
rnacentral:tmRNA from 1 species